rnacentral:misc_RNA from 1 species
AAUAAUUAUUUUAUUAACGGAAACAUAACUUGUUUCCUUCUAGAAAUAGAGAAAUUAAAUUGUAAUUUUUAUCACUAAAUGAUAAAUUAUACAAAAUAAAUUCCCAUCUUAAGGGGAUACCAAAGAUUCUGAUAAGGUUGGCAAAACCACCUCACCAUCUUAUGACUUGUACAUACAGUUACACACUGGGAAAAAUUACAAUGUUACAUGAGCAAUUUCCGGCACGGAAUACCGGAAAAUACGUCGAAAUGCUCAUAUUAUAAUAAGUUUCUAAUUUAAUCUUAUUGUACAUUGAGCAAUUAGUCAAUCUAAUAGAAUCCUAAAUAUGGAACAACCCCAUAUUAAUUACACUGGCGAUGCAGAAAGUAGAAAAUCUGGCUGUAAUCUCUGAAGCAGUAUCCCACAAAAGGGACACAAGGGUUUUGACAAUUCUUCUACUACACAAGCUUCUGUUAAAGGUUUGAAAUCUACAGGAUAUCCAGGCUUUGUAAAUAGAGUCUCUGGUGCCAAUUUGGAAGCCCAUCUGUUACAACACUUGCAAUGCCAUAACGGUGUCGCUGGGCAAACCUGCAUGGAAACAGCACACCUAACCAAUUUGUGGUUCUGCAUAUCUCUGUUGCUACUCUCUAAACCUUGGCAAAAUGCAAUCUCUGGAGAAUUAAAAGGAACAGAUGCUGAGCAAUAGCUACAUCGUUCCUCUACCUCAAAUUUGUUGGAUGAAAGCCUGCUCUUAUGUUUUUGAACUUCUGAUGUGAGGACAUUUAGUUGAUCAUUGACAUGAUCGCGAUUAAGUUCAACCCACUGCUCCAUUUGUGCAAUUCCAACAGGAUGCCAGCAUCCAGUCUCAAUAAAAUUUUUGGCUAAAAAAGAAGAAAAACUAAAAACCAAAAGCCUUUCACGGAGUUCUUUUUCACUCCUGAAAAGUAGCUUUAUCCACAAAGUUUGUUGCUCCCCUGCAGCACUAGUUUGUUCUUCAAAGUUCAAUUUACUGUUAAUUUCAUCAGCCUUCAACAUAGAUAGGACCAGGCAUCGACAAAUGAUAUUUAGAAUGUGCAACUGGCGAGAAGUAAUUUUUGAUAGAUUAUCAGAUAUGUGUGUCAAAACCUCAUUAAUGGAAAGGUCCAUAUGGGAACCUAAAUAUGACAUAGAGAGCCAACUAGCUAGUAUACGGUCCACAUAUUCUGGCAUAAACUGCUUGAAAGCCAAUAAUGAUGCUAUGAUAUCCCAAAUAACUAGAGGUUUAUCUGGACUUUCAAAGUUUUUCAAAGACCAGAGAAUAUUGGACUCCCAGUAUAACAAUUCACUUUGGGAAAAAUCGUGAAAAGAUUCUUUAACAAAGUCUUGAGAAGUGUUGAACAACAUAUUCAAAUUUUGUCCACCAAUCCAGAAGAAUUCAACAAUAGCCUUUUGUGCCCUUUACAUGAAACACCUUACGGCAGCCAUUACAAGGUGAUAUGUUGGCAUUUCAAUGUCAUUCUUGAAUCACAGACCUCAAUCAGUAUAUCAUGAAUCAGCCCCUAGAAAUCCCUGUUACAUAGCAGGCAAUAUGUUAUGUAACCAGAGUUUUUUUUAAUAACAUGAUGCCAAUUGCCAAUGUAACCUUGUUGAAAGACCUCAAAUAAUUUGAAGUCAAUAAAAUUCAAAUAAAAAUCAUCAAAGCUUCACUUGGCCUUUUCCAGUGGUUCAUAGUUCUAAGUAUAAGUUCAUAGAAGCAUUGACAUUUUGGUAUUGAACUUCCAUGCUGGCACCUCUCCUAUGGUUUAGGAAAUUGUAACUGAUUUGGCAUAUGGUGGAGAGGUAGAACUAAUUAGCUCAAAUUAUAUAGACUAGGCUCAAUCAGCCUCCCAAACUGCCUAAAAGAAAAAUAAUAAUAAUAAAGCAUUAGUAUUAAGAAUUUUACGAAAAAUUUUCAGUAAAAUUAUGCAAUAGAUGCAAGCCCAUUUACGUGAAACCACAGCCACAACAGAAACUAGGCAAAAUCUAGGUAGUAAUGAACAGAAAUAUGUUUGUAUUUUUUUUUUUUUCUGGAUUUUGAAAUGUUUGGCUUCUAUGUUUGUUCUUAGGCUCCUUGUUGUUAGGCCUAAGGCUUUGUCCAACUGACCUUAGUUGCACUGUGUUCUUUUACCUGCUUCUCUUUGCUGUUCUUCAUGUUCAUCCUAUUGUAAUUAUUCAACAAUUAUUGAAUUUGAUAAAGCAUUUUAAAUUUUAAGACAACAAUUAACUCACCUUCCCUCAUACAUAUGAUCCAAUUGAUCAACAUCAAGAUUUCGGACCAUCGCAACUACAAGAUUUCCAGGAGAUACUGCUACACCUAGGCACGAAAAGAAUACAUCUGGAAGAUCAGUUGAACUCCUCAAACCAGGAGUACAUGAUGGAAUGGAUACUUCACAAAGAGAACUCCCAUGUAAUAGCCAGCUACGAACAUAAUUAUCCUGACCACAGCUGUACAAACAACACCCAUCAAAAGCCCAAGCUAAACCAGUAACAACAUAGUCGUGAGCAUCCUGUGAACAAGCUUUAUCAAACUUGCAACUAGAUAUGUCACAUGUCCAUACUUCAAACGAACCAGAUCCUUUGCCAACUGCUAAGAGAAUUUUGUAGGGUGCCUGAACAGGUAUUACUAGUGAAAGUACUGAAACUGGGACAAUAUUGCCAAAUAUAACCUCCUUCAGUAGAACAAAUGGAGCAUUAUUAGAUUCUGAUGAUUCCAGCAAUUUCUCACCGUUCCCCAGCCAGAUCUUCACACUAACUCACCUCCCAUCAGAACUCGCACUAGCCAAUAAAACCUGAUGAUUAGAAUUAGAACUAAGUAAUGCCAGAUUGACUGCAGUGACCCAUGAAUUAUGUGCCUGUAGAAGCCCGACAAGCAUAACACCAGGAGAGACUCUAUUGUGCUCAAUAGAGUAGCAUUGUGGUGCAUGAAUUCUCCAGAUUGAAAUUUUGCCAGCCUUCCCUCCAACUGCAAAUAUAGAGAAUCUAUGGGGUGAAUCAUUUUGAGGAGCUGUACAGAUUUUAGAUGUCAAGCACAACACUGGUGACCAGGCAACAACAAUUGAUGACAGCAUCUGACUGCGAGAAGCAUAUUGGUCUGCAGUUAACUUAGGCAACUGCUCUUCCCUCGUAUUAGUGUGAGGGCUAGAUCCAGCAUGGAGCUUCUCACCAUUACCUAUCAGUUGGCCUCCAAAAGUUUCAGACUCCUUAUCGAUGCCAUUAGUGGUACUGGCUCUUCUUCGCUUAUGCUCCUUUCCAGUAAUAGUGUUUGGAAAAACAUCAGCAAGAUUAUCACUGAGCCUUACUUGUGUUGUUUGCUCCUAAUGAAAGACAUAAAUGUUUCACGGUGUUAUGGCUUAAGGAUUAAGUUAAACAGAUUUAAAAUAAAGAACUUACAUGAACAAUCUCUGAAUCAAGGAUUUCUGACUGCCCAAAAUUUGUUUUUGCAAGAAAAUCAUAUAGCCUAUCUGAUAUAUCUAUAACCUCUAUCCAUUCAGCACAAAAAUCACAAAAAGGUGAUCGAUAAAGCUUUACACGUCCUUCUGUGGUACAAACUGCAAGCAAGCACCCAAAGUUAGGAGCCAUUCCAAGCGGAGACCAAGAAAUUGAUCGUACACAUGGUCGACGAUCCCGAGAUAAAGCAUUGGGCAGCAAACAUCCAGCGAGCAAAUCUUCUUUUUUGACCAGCCCAAUUGGAUAAGGUUCACAGGUAGGAAUGGUGAUUAAGCCUCGAGGUCCAAGUGUCAAUGCUGGAUUCAGAAUGGUGACAAGGUGACCGCAAGCGACGGCAAUAAGAUUCUCGUCAGACCAAGCUAUGGCGUUUGGGUACAAUGGUGAAGCCACCAGUUGAGCAGCUUGGAAUCGUGAAGGCAUGAUCACUGAAACAUAAUAGAAAAUUUAAAACUUGAAGGAAAUUGGAAAUCUGGGAAUUUGGGAGGAAAGUGAAUUCAGUUACCACAACGAGGAGAGAAGUAAGAGAACGAUAUGGAAGAGAGACGAUCUUGGUGAAGAACUGACUUG